rnacentral:lncRNA from 13 species
CCGCGCCUGGCGCUGUCUCCAGCCUGGUGGCGGGCAAGCCUGGCGUGCCAGGUCCAGGAUGCGCUAGAGGAGCGUUUGCAGCCGUCACUGAAUCGCCUGAGGACUAGCGGGGCAAGCCUGAAAUUAACCGCAGCGUUUGCACCAAUAUGAAGGCAAAGCAUGUCCAGACCCAGGCGAAGGUUCCUGCUGACCCAGGCUCUCACCGGCACGUUGUCCUUUACUGUCCUCCUGAGGGUGUCUGGAGCUUCAGUGCUGUGUGCUCUCAGCCUCCAUGCUGGAGUACCACCGACUCCCGCUGUCCAGGACUUGCAGUGGACUCUCCGAGGCACUGAUGUAGAAUCUUCCCCAUUCGCGGCACCAAGAGCAGCCUCACAUGGUGUGGGCUGACAUGAAGAGCUGCCAGAUCCAACAGAGAUUGGGUUGGUAACAUUGAAGAGACACUUCUCACCUGCCUGAAAUGCCCUACGUUAUCUUCAAGUUGCAAGGGCUCUGGAACAGCCCUUGCAGUGCUCCCGUAAAGAGCUCAGGCUAUCACUACAGAUGUAUUGGCAGAAUCCUCUUGUGGGUGGAGGACUGUGGUGUUCGCGCCAAGGACUCGAGACAGCUAGUUGACUCGCCCCAGUUUGGCUGCUGGACCUGUACUGCAUUUCCCCACCUCGAGGGCUGUCGAGUGAGACAAAGGGCCGCGAGCUGGGUCACUAAAAGCAACAACAGGAUGCAAAGCAAAGGCCUGCAGUUUAUGAGGACAUUGUGCUGUCUGCUUCCAUGUCCCCCUUCAGUCUCUGUGGAGCCUUGGGAGGAGCCUGAAUCACUGAUGGAAUUGGACGGUGCAUGGAGAUGGUUGGGCAGGAUGAGGGUAAGUGCAGGGGCGUGGCCAGGUCAUACUG